GACGAACGCUGGCGGCGUGCUUAACACAUGCAAGUCGAACGGAAAGGCCCUGCUUUUGUGGGGUGCUCGAGUGGCGAACGGGUGAGUAACACGUGAGUAACCUGCCCUUGACUUUGGGAUAACUUCAGGAAACUGGGGCUAAUACCGGAUAGGAGCUCCUGCUGCAUGGUGGGGGUUGGAAAGUUUCGGCGGUUGGGGAUGGACUCGCGGCUUAUCAGCUUGUUGGUGGGGUAGUGGCUUACCAAGGCUUUGACGGGUAGCCGGCCUGAGAGGGUGACCGGCCACAUUGGGACUGAGAUACGGCCCAGACUCCUACGGGAGGCAGCAGUGGGGAAUAUUGCAUAAUGGGCGGAAGCCUGAUGCAGCAACGCCGCGUGCGGGAUGACGGCCUUCGGGUUGUAAACCGCUUUCGCCUGUGACGAAGCGUGAGUGACGGUAAUGGGUAAAGAAGCACCGGCUAACUACGCG
rnacentral:rRNA from 1 species